AUUCUUCCCAAGGAGGCGGCUGGAAAGGCAGCAGAGCAGCUGAGGCUCCAGAAAAGGCAGAACCAGGAGUGCUGAUGUCUGAGGGCAAAGAUGGAUAUCCCAACUCAAGCAGAGAGAUUGACUUCUCCCUUCCUCAGCCUUUUUGUUCUAUUCAGCCCUCAGUGGAUUAGCUGAUGACUGGCUAUAUUGUGAUAUUGGCAAGCUGAGUUUCUCCAAUGUCAUGAGAAGUUCCUCGAUCACAUCUGGAUCUUGAUUUUUCUGGAAUAUACUAUUAGAAAGACAGGAAAGAAAUUCUUUGGGUAGAGUCAUCCUUAUAUUACAGAUAACAGUUGACCCAAGUCAGACACAUUUCAUUCUAAGGCAUUUCCAUGUAACUAAAGACAGUGUAAAAUGAUUUUUUUCCCCAUUACCUGUGUGUGUGUGUGUGUGUGUUCCCGUGUGUGUGUGUGUAUGUGUGUAGGAACUGGGUCAUGUUGGCAGGUAGGUCAACUGCUGCCACAACUUUAAACAAAUAAACAAAAAGUUUAAACAAAUAAACAAAAAGACAAUACUUAACCGCAUGGGCAAUUGAUAGCAAAUCGGGGCUCUAAUUGGCACUGGUCAACCACUAUAUAAUGGGAGAAUGUAGUAUGCUCUAGCUGUGGCUGAACUACAGAGCAGGUCAGUGGCUCAGCCUCCUGGUUCCACCUUCCCAGGGGAGGCCUCCCUGCUUCAGAGGAAAGGCUUGAUGACUUUCCUGCAGAUGACCUCUGUGCUUGCCAUCCUACAAUCCAUUCUCUACACAGAAGCCUGAAUGAUGUUUAAGACAUAUAAUGAAUUGAUUGAUUGAUUGAUUUUGAUUGAUUUUGUAGCAAAUUUUUAUACAGAAUUAUUCUAGUCAUUACAAUUAGGUAUUUUUUUGUUUUUUGAGAUGGAGUCUCGCUCUGUCGCCCAGGAUGGAGUGCAUGAGCUAAGAUUGUACCACUGCACUCUCCCUGUAGACAAGGGGAAAUGGCACAGGGUGAAGACCAAAGAGAGGUCAAAGAACAGGUUAUGGCACUUUACAAAGUUAGGGUAAAGUCCUUGGAUGGUAUUUAAGUGUUAUGGGACUUCCUGGUAGACAUUUCCCCUUGUCUACUGUGCCCUGGCACAGAGGGUUUCUUUUGACCUCUGGAAGUGGUUAAAUUUGUUGCUGCGUUAGUGCCUUGCCUCCACCUGCUCUCUGCCAGCAAUAUUCUUCCAUUUCCCCACACAUGUUGUCUCCAUCUUGUCAAUCAGAAUUCACCUCCUCAGAGAUACUUCUCUGAUUGCCUAGUUCAUUGAUGAUUAUCAUAACCCUCUAUUUUCAAUUCUCUGCAUAAUAGUUUUCACUCUAAGUUAUUUUUAUUUCUUUGUUCAUUGUCAACCUCCCUCAUCUGCCAAUGCCUGAAUAAAAGCUUCAUAGGUACAGAGACUUUGUCCAGUCUUAUGAAUCUCUAAUCCUACUGUCUAGAACAGUGCCUCGUACAUAGUAGGCCUUCAAAAAUAAUUGUUAAAUGAACAAAUAAAUGUGAAAUUGAAGCAACAAUGCUGACCAUAAAACAUUGUGAAGAUUAAAUGAGAUAAUGUCUAUAAAGUGCUUAAAAUGGAAAUGGCACAUAAUAUAUUCAAUAAAUCAUUCUUAUUA
rnacentral:lncRNA from 1 species